AUUGAACGCUGGCGGCAGGCUUAACACAUGCAAGUCGAGCGGGGUGAUGGUGCUUGCACUAUCACUUAGCGGCGGACGGGUGAGUAAUGCUUAGGAAUCUGCCUAUUAGUGGGGGACAACAUCUCGAAAGGGAUGCUAAUACCGCAUACGUCCUACGGGAGAAAGCAGGGGAUCACUUGUGACCUUGCGCUAAUUGAUGAGCCUAAGUCGGAUUAGCUAGUUGGUGGGGUAAAGGCCUACCAAGGCGACGAUCUGUAGCGGGUCUGAGAGGAUGAGCCGCCACACUGGGACUGAGACACGGCCCAGACUCCUACGGGAGGCAGCGGUGGGGAAUAUUGGACAAUGGGGGGAACCCUGAUCCAGCCAUGCCGCGUGUGUGAAGAAGGCCUUAUGGUUGUAAAGCACUUUAAGCGAGGAGGAGGCUCUUUUGGUUAAUACCCAAGAUGAGUGGACGUUACUCGCAGAAUAAGCACCGGCUAACUCUGUGCCAGCCGCCGCCGUAA
rnacentral:rRNA from 1 species